rnacentral:rRNA from 1 species
CGAAGGUGGCAAGCGUUGUUCGGAUUUACUGGGCGUACAGGGAGCGUAGGCGGUUCGGUAAGCCCUCCGUGAAAUCUCCAGGCUCAACCUGGAAAGUGCAGAGGGGACUGCCGGGCUAGAGGAUGGGAGAGGAGCGCGGAAUUCCCGGUGUAGCGGUGAAAUGCGUAGAGAUCGGGAGGAAGGCCGGUGGCGAAGGCGGCGCUCUGGAACAUUUCUGACGCUGAGGCUCGAAAGCGUGGGGAGCAAACAGGAUUAGAUACCCCUGGUAGUCCACGCCUUAAACGAUGGAUACUAAGUGUCGGCGGGUUACCGCCGGUGCCGCAGCUAACGCAGUAAGUAUCCCGCCUGGGAAGUACGGCCGCAAGGUUG